UUAUUAUUUUUUAAAUGUUUCCCUCUUGUUUUCCAGCAGCUAACGCCAGCACAGAUCCAAAGUGUUCUUACAGUGUUGAAGCGAUCCAGUUUGGUUUCCAGAUUAAGAUGACAGAUUUUACUGCUGGUAACUACACCAUAGAUGUUGAUGAGAAGGAAGGUCCGGCUGAAAGGAAGGAAGUUUAUUUCUCCAACAAAAACUCAACUCAUCAAAUCAAACCUCUGAAGCCGUGCACUGAAUAUGAGCUAAAUGUUGCACUUAUUUGGAUCAACGAUACAGAGAUACCAUGUAACAAAACUGACAAUAAAACUACAACAACGACUGGAAUGAAUGAACAAGACAUUACAAAAAAAGCCUCCUGCCCUUCUGGAUAUUUCUGUUACCAAAGUGGUUGGGACAUCAGCUCUUUAACAUCAAAAGCUGCAGAAUUUAU